rnacentral:rRNA from 1 species
UAGAGUUUGAUCAUGGCUCAGAUUGAACGCUGGCUGCAGGCCAAACACAUGCAAGUCGAGCGGUAACAUGUCUAGCUUGCUAUUCGGCGUCGAGCGGCGGACGGGUGAGUAAUGCUUGGGGAUCUGCCUUAGAGUGGAGGAUAACCAUUGGAAACGAUGGCUAAUACUGCAUAGUAUCUGCGGAUUAAAGGGGGCUUAGGCUCUUGCUUUAAGAUGAACCCAAGUGGGAUUAGCUAGUUGGUGAGGUAAUGGCUCACCAAGGCGACGAUCCCUAGCUGGUCUGAGAGGAUGAUCAGCCACACUGGAACUGAGACACGGUCCAGACUCCUACGGGAGGCAGCAGUGGGGAAUAUUGCACAAUGGGCGAAAGCCUGAUGCAGCCAUGCCGCGUGUGUGAAGAAGGCCCUAGGGUUGUAAAGCACUUUCAGUCAGGAGGAAAGGUUAGUAGUUAAUACCUGCUAGCUGUGACGUUACUGACAGGAGAAGCACCGGCUAACUUCGUGCCAGCAGCCGCGGUAAUACGAGGGGUGCAAGCGUUAAUCGGAAUUACUGGGCGUAAAGCGAGCGUAGGCGGCUGAAUAAGCUGAUGUGAAAAACCGGGGCUCAACCUCGGCCGUGCAUUC